UAUAAGUUAAAGAGUUUAAUCUGUCACCUGCUAAGACCUGGGGACACCCAGGGUCUCCCGGUAAGGAAUGGGACAGGGACAGUCACAGGAUAAGGUAGCGUGCACGCCUUUAGAAUGCAUUCUGGUUGCAUUCUCGGUAAUUGGAAAAUCUUUGGAAUGGAUCCACUAACUAAAGGUAAACUAAAAGAUAUUGUACAAUAGACUGGCCUCAGUAUCAGCUGGAGGAUCAGAAACGGUGGGCACCGGAGGGUUCGAUUAAUUAUAAUACAAUCCUCCAACUUUCUUUUAUUUUGUCAGUGAACUGGUAAAUGGAAUGAGCAUAUGUAUGGUCAGAUAUUUAUGUCAUUAUGGAACAGAAGAGAUAUUUUGAAGCAGUGUAAUUUGAUUCCAACAGGCUUAGGGAAGAAUUGUGAAAAUGUUUAAAACUCAUUAUUUACUGUAAUAGCAGGAGCGGGGUCAUAUUCGGCCACAGCACCCCCAUUGUAUGGUGACAAAGUCCCCUCAGCCCCGCCAAUUGAGCCCGCCACAGGUUUGUACCCUUUAAUUACUGAAACCCGAAUCGCUCGCAAUGCUACGGCUACUCAGGAGUUAACCACUAUGCAGGUGUACUCUCAUGUUCCUUUUAAUCCUGUGGAUCUACCAGCUUUCAAAGCGCAGGCAGGGGAAUUCUCUACCAACCCCUCCCAAUUUAUUUCAGUUUUUGAAGGCUGUCUGGUUAGUCAUAAACCUGACUGGGAUGACUGCCAGGUACUUCUGUGAACACUCCUCUCUGAAGUGGAGCGAAACCAGGUUUUCGCUAAGGCACGGGCAGAAGCAGAACGGAGAUAUGAGCAAAGUCUUGAUGCUUAGAAGGAGGCCAGGGAGGAAUUACAGAAAAUUAUAGAUAAAUUCCUGCAGUGUGGGGUAUUACAGGAGUGUCACUCAGCUUGGAAUACCCCUAUCUUACCAGUCCAGAAACCUGACGGCAGUUAUCGAUUGGUGCAGGACUUAAGAGCAGUCAAUGAGCGGGUUAAGACUCUACACCCCCUCGUGCCCAACCCAUAGACACUGCUAGCCUCUGUGGGGGGACAGUAUUCAUGUUUCUCAGUUUUUGAUUUAAAGGAUGCCCCAGUCUCAGGAAAUUUUCUCCUUCGAAUGGGAAGACGCGAACAGGAAUAAAAGGCAGCUGUGUUGGACGGUGCUGGCACAAGGAUUUAAGAACUCCCCCACUCUCUUCGGCCAAGCUUUAUCUUGGGACUUGGAAGAAUGGGAAAAUGAGAACAAAGUCCUUCUCCUGCAGUAUGUUGAUGAUUUAUUAAUAGCAGCAGUGGGACUAGAAGUAUGUCUCCAGGCAACCGUACGUUAAGGACUCUCAGCCACUCCCUUUGGAUGCACCUGUCCAUUCCCUACAGCC